rnacentral:rRNA from 1 species
AUUGAACGCUGGCGGCAGGCCUAACACAUGCAAGUCGAGCGGAUGAAGGGAGCUUGCUCCUGGAUUCAGCGGCGGACGGGUGAGUAAUGCCUAGGAAUCUGCCUGGUAGUGGGGGAUAACGUCCGGAAACGGGCGCUAAUACCGCAUACGUCCUGAGGGAGAAAGUGGGGGAUCUUCGGACCUCACGCUAUCAGAUGAGCCUAGGUCGGAUUAGCUAGUUGGUGGGGUAAAGGCCUACCAAGGCGACGAUCCGUAACUGGUCUGAGAGGAUGAUCAGUCACACUGGAACUGAGACACGGUCCAGACUCCGAGGGGAGGCAGCAGUGGGGAAUAUUGGACAAGGGGGGAAAGCCUGAUCCAGCCAUGCCGCGUGUGUGAAGAAGGUCUUGGGAUUGUAAAGCACUUUAAGUUGGGAGGAAGGGCAGUAAGGUAAUACCUUGCUGUUUUGACGGUACCAACAGAAUAAGCACCGGCUAACUUCGUG